AACAGUAUCAGCCAGCAUUUUGGUUCGUUCUCUUUGGAAUUCUGCCGUUGCUCUUUCACUUCAUCGCCACGGUUUUUCUUCAAUCGCUUCGGUCACGGCACUGAUUUGAUGUUUUUCUUUGUUCCAUCAUUGAAGGGUCCAAUGUCGGAAUCUGUUGUGUGGCGCAUACACACUAAUGUCAAGCAUUCAAUCGCCAAUACCAAUUAAUUACCAAAAAUGUGCAACUUGAUCUGCCUACAUGUAUGGGUGUGGAAUCAAUAAAUUUGAAUUGUGAGAUUGGGUGGAGGUAAGGGAUCUCUCUCUCUCUCCCUCUCUUAAUUCUUAUUGUUCUUUUCAAUCGCAAGAAAUCCUUAUUUUACAUACAGAUCUGUUAAUUUCGUUUGUGAGGUCAAAAUUAGAUUCUAAAAAGUGAAAAAGUGUUCUCCCUCGUCUCCUUGGAUCCAUUAAUGGGGAGAGAAUUUCUUCUGCAUCGCCCUUUUCAAUUUAUAUUAUUACGAAGUUAUCAUUAUUGUUGUUA